GAUGAACGCUGGCGGCGUGCCUAAUACAUGCAAGUCGAGCGAACGGACGAGAAGCUUGCUUCUCUGAUGUUAGCGGCGGACGGGUGAGUAACACGUGGAUAACCUACCUAUAAGACUGGGAUAACUUCGGGAAACCGGAGCUAAUACCGGAUAAUAUUUUGAACCGCAUGGUUCAAAAGUGAAAGACGGUCUUGCUGUCACUUAUAGAUGGAUCCGCGCUGCAUUAGCUAGUUGGUAAGGUAACGGCUUACCAAGGCAACGAUGCAUAGCCGACCUGAGAGGGUGAUCGGCCACACUGGAACUGAGACACGGUCCAGCCUCCUACGGGAGGCAGCAGUAGGGAAUCUUCCGCAAUGGGCGAAAGCCUGACGGAGCAACGCCGCGUGAGUGAUGAAGGUCUUCGGAUCGUAAAACUCUGUUAUUAGGGAAGAACAUAUGUGUAAGUAACUGUGCACAUCUUGACGGUACCUAAUCAGAAAGCCACGGCUAACUACGU
rnacentral:rRNA from 1 species